UCGUGGAGUGAUCUGUCUGCUUAAUUGCGUUUCACUAAGGACUCAGAUUUUACGUGUGUUUGCGGCUAGCUUUGACCCUUAACUGUGUGUCUCAGUUUUAGCUUGCGCACACUUCCGAGUCCUCAUAGCAACGAACGUGACCGCAACCUCUUGUUGCCUUUAACCCCAACGAAUUUCAGAUUUUAUCUGUGUUUGUUUUAAAGGCUUUUUAAAACUAGAGGGACCGCUGUAAUCUUUUUAAACCAGAGGA
rnacentral:rRNA from 1 species